GGAGGGAUGAUUACCGAGUUGUCCUCCGUGACACUCCCUUCAUACCCCCUGUGAACAUACCAUCGUUGCCUCGGCGUGGCGCCCGCCGGUGGCCCAUUACUACCAAAUUCUGUACAUUUUGAAAACUUGAUUCUGAACUUAUAACAAAUCAUGUUAAAACUUUCAACAACGGAUCUCUUGGUUCUGGCAUCGAUGAAGAACGCAGCGAAAUGCGAUACGUAAUGUGAAUUGCAGAAUUCAGUGAAUCAUCGAAUCUUUGAACGCACAUUGCGCCCGCUGGUAUUCCAGCGGGCAUGCCUGUUCGAGCGUCAUUUCAACCCUUAAGCCCUCGUUGCUUAGUGUUGGGAGACUACCCCGCCAUGGCGGCGGCGGUAGCUCCCUAAAGCGAGUGGCGGAGCCGGUCCCGUGCUCUAGGCGUAGUAGAUUUUAUCUCGCCUCUGUAGCCGGAUCUCGUUUUUCCUGCCAUAAAAACGAAGAUUUUUCUUCACUUAUUUUAAGGUUGACCUCGGAUCAGGUAGGAAUACCCGCUA
rnacentral:rRNA from 1 species